UCUUAAACUGGGCAGAAGAUUUGACCUUCAAGAUUCAAGGAUUAGACUCACAGAAACCUCAAGAAAGCCAAUCUUUCAUCUCACAAAGCCUAUCUCAAAGUUCAUGCCGAUCUAGUGAAUCCUCUGAGAAAAUAAGUACUCAAUCACACCUCACAAAAGAGAGGAAUAAAGACAGCAUUUCAGAGAAUUCAGCCGGACUAUGGGAUACCAGCACACAGCCUCAUCUAGCACAACAGACCUGAAACCCAUGCUAUCUUCAUCCUGUGGUAGUCCUUGAACCCUUUAAUGCAGGAGAUGUGGUGAAAGGGAAAGCGUAGCUUGAAUCACAGACAGCUCUGACUUUAAAUUAUUUAGCGCAUCAACCGCAAAACAUUUAGAGCAUCCCACUGUGACCCCCGUCCUGUAUUGGGUGGCUCUUGGGUCAUGCCUGUGAUGGUCCAUCAUACAGAAAGCCAACCUGUGCUGAUGAAACCAGAAGCAGUAUGGCUGGUGUGUCCCAUGUCACUUACUCCAGAAGAGCUGUGAAAAUGGGCUGAACACACACAGUGGCCAUUUGCACAGAAUUUGCAGCAUCAGGGUUUUCUGACAGCGGAAAACCACAACACUUCAGCUACACCAGAACACAUCAAAGAGUAAGUGGUUAUUAAGGUAAGAAUAUAUUUUCAGGAGAGGUGUUGC